rnacentral:rRNA from 1 species
UACAGAGGGGGCAAGCGUUGUUCGGAAUUACUGGGCGUAAAGGGCGCGUAGGCGGCCUUCUAAGUCGAACGUGAAAUCCCCGGGCUCAACCCGGGAACUGCGUCCGAUACUGGAAGGCUUGAAUCCGGGAGAGGGAUGCGGAAUUCCAGGUGUAGCGGUGAAAUGCGUAGAUAUCUGGAGGAACACCGGUGGCGAAGGCGGCAUCAUGGACCGGUAUUGACGCUGAGGCGCGAAAGCCAGGGGAGCAAACGGG